AUUUUCCUGGGGUGUUCGCCAACCUGCUAUUUUGAACCUACAUUCAAUUAAAGGGAUUCUUAUAUCUAUAGUUUAAUGUCAGGCCUCCAUGUUAGAGGAAGGCAGCGAAUUAUAUGCGGAAACCCACCUAGCCUAGCUAGGAGUCGAAACUGUAGGAAACGGCAUUUUGGGAUAUAA
rnacentral:other from 1 species